rnacentral:tRNA from 1 species
GCCUGGGUGGCUCAGUCGGUUAAGCGUCCGACUUUGGCUCAGGUCGUGAUCUCGCAGUUUGUGGGUUCGAGCCCCACAUCAGGCU